AACAACACAAUAAUAUAAAAUCUCAACCUCAAUUCCAUAAAAUUCUCCUUCGCUCACUAGGUGACCCAAAAAGCCCUCAAUUGCCAGAUUGCCUGAGUUCAGGGCGGACGAAAUCAGCAUCUGCUGGUACAGAAAUAUCAACUGUGGGUCUCAGUUGAGCACAAACUUCAAUAGCUCCAUGCACAGGAUCUGCAAGGAAGUUGCUGAUGAGAUCCCGAUUGAUAGGGGCAUUAUUAUCCACAGCUACCAGUGCUUGUUGGGUGAGAUUGUAAUCAAAUCGAGGGGCCCACUUCCUGGAACCUAAACGUGCUGUUGUAGAGCAAUUGUCAACCAUGAAUGAUACUCCCCGAGCAUGCAUGAAUGGAUUCAAGGAAUCUACAGACUCGAU
rnacentral:lncRNA from 1 species